GUAGCGGUCUCAGAGGACGAGGAGCCGUUUCUAAACGGCUCCUCAGGAUGGGAACCAGGCCAAACGCUUGAGGUGGGCUGAGAAAUACAAGAAUUCCACAGUGGAUGAUGAAAGAAGUCAGUCAUGAUUCCAAGACACCAGAGUUUGCUUCAGGCUGCUCGUCGGACCAGAUGGUCGAGGUUUGUACUGCAGCACGACUCUUCGCACGGCGCCAGACAGCGAGCCCAACACGCGCAGAGCUGUGCUGAUCUGACUUGCAAACUGGUUGCAGCAGCAGCACCAUCUGAUUCAACUUCAUGGAAAUCAGCAGUGGACGGUGUUUCCCUCCUGUGGAUUUGA